rnacentral:rRNA from 1 species
AGUGAACGCUGGCGGCAGGCCUAACACAUGCAAGUCGAACGGCAGCACAGUAAGAGCUUGCUCUUACGGGUGGCGAGUGGCGGACGGGUGAGGAAUACAUCGGAAUCUACUUUUUCGUGGGGGAUAACGUAGGGAAACUUACGCUAAUACCGCAUACGACCUACGGGUGAAAGCAGGGGAGCUUCGGACCUUGCGCGAUUGAAUGAGCCGAUGUCGGAUUAGCUAGUUGGCGGGGUAAAGGCCCACCAAGGCGACGAUCCGUAGCUGGUCUGAGAGGAUGAUCAGCCACACUGGAACUGAGACACGGUCCAGACUCCUACGGGAGGCAGCAGUGGGGAAUAUUGGACAAUGGGCGCAAGCCUGAUCCAGCCAUACCGCGUGGGUGAAGAAGGCCUUCGGGUUGUAAAGCCCUUUUGUUGGGGAAGAAAAGCAGCAGGUUAAUACCCCGCUGUUCUGACGGUACCCAAAGAAUAAGCACCGGCUAACUUCGUG